UAUCUCUGUAGAGUCUGCAUAUCAAUAAGCGGAGGAAAAGAAACUAACUAGGAUUCCCUCAGUAACGGCGAGUGAAGCGGGAAGAGCUCAAAUUUGAAAUCUUCAAGGUUCUACCUUGACGAAUUGUAGUUUAAAGAAGUGUUUUCUGUUGGAGUUUUGGUGAAAGUUCUUUGGAAUAGGACAUCAUAGAGGGUGAGAAUCCCGUAUUUGACCAUUAUUUCCAGCUGUGUGAUACACUUUCAAAGAGUCGGAUUGUUUGGGAAUGCAGUCCAAAAUGGGUGGUAAAUUUCAUCUAAAGCUAAAUAUUGGCGAGAGACCGAUAGCGAACAAGUACCGUGAGGGAAAGAUGAAAAGAACUUUGAAAAGAGAGUUAAACAGUACGUGAAAUUGUCAAAAGGGAAGCGUUUGACACCAGUGUUGUUUUCUCGAAAAUCAAUUAAAAAUGGCCGGAUUUUGUGUUGUAUUGACUUUAUCAGCUUUCUGCACUUUUUUCUUGUCUUUUUUAAUGCACUUUUCGUUUAACAAGUCAACAUCAAUUUCUUUUGUUGUAAAAGAGUCAUUGGAAGGUGGCCUUCACUUCGGUGAAAGUGUUUAUAGCCUUUGGCUUCUGCAAUCGGAGAGAUUGAGGUCUGCAGCGUAGAUCCUUCGGGGUUAGAUACAUUUGUGCUAAGUUAUAGUUUUUCAUAGACAACAUUGUUGACUAUGAUUAAUCAUGUAGCUUACUCGCUUGCGCUAUUUACCUACGCUUAGGAUGUUGAUGUGAUACUGCGAGCA
rnacentral:rRNA from 1 species